rnacentral:lncRNA from 1 species
CCCCCUUUCGACCUCUCACGAGAACCAAAGCCCGUCCGAACUUCUCCAGCGGAUGGAUUCCAGACGAGCUUCUACAAUGGACGAGCUUCAGCAACUGGGUCCCUACGAUAGCCGAUCACCUCUGAUGUCUGCCGAGCCUCCCCAGCGCUAUCCGAAGUCCAUCGCUGGCCGACCUUCUACCGGGCUCCCCAUAAAAUCGGACUUCCCCGAUGGAC